CAGAAAAUAGUUAAUGUAUAAUAGUAAGUUUGGGGCUUACAGAAGAGUAGAUCUUUUCUGA
rnacentral:tRNA from 1 species